rnacentral:rRNA from 1 species
ACGAACGCUGGCGGCGUGCCUAAUACAUGCAAGUCGAGCGAAUUAACAGGAGCUUGCUCCUGUUAAUUAGCGGCGGACGGGUGAGUAACACGUGGGCAACCUGCCUGUAAGACUGGGAUAACACCGGGAAACCGGUGCUAAUACCGGAUAAUCCUUUUCCUCUCAUGAGGAAAAGCUGAAAGACGGUUUCGGCUGUCACUUACAGAUGGGCCCGCGGCGCAUUAGCUAGUUGGUGAGGUAACGGCUCACCAAGGCGACGAUGCGUAGCUGACCUGAGAGGGUGAUCGGCCACACUGGGACUGAGACACGGCCCAGACUCCUACGGGAGGCAGCAGUAGGGAAUCUUCCACAAUGGACGAAAGUCUGAUGGAGCAACGCCGCGUGAGCGAUGAAGGCCUUCGGGUCGUAAAGCUCUGUUGUUAGGGAAGAACAAGUACCGGAGUAACUGCCGGUACCUUGACGGUACCUAACCAGAAAGCCACGGCUAACUACGUGCCAGCAGCCGCGGUAAUACGUAGGUGGCAAGCGUUGUCCGGAAUUAUUGGGCGUAAAGCGCGCGCAGGCGGUCCUUUAAGUCUGAUGUGAAAGCCCACGGCUCAACCGUGGAGGGUCAUUGGAAACUGGGGGACUUGAGUGCAGAAGAGGAAAGCGGAAUUCCACGUGUAGCGGUGAAAUGCGUAGAGAUGUGGAGGAACACCAGUGGCGAAGGCGGCUUUCUGGUCUGUAACUGACGCUGAGGCGCGAAAGCGUGGGGAGCAAACAGGAUUAGAUACCCUGGUAGUCCACGCCGUAAACGAUGAGUGCUAGGUGUUAGGGGGUUUCCGCCCCUUAGUGCUGCAGCUAACGCAUUAAGCACUCCGCCUGGGGAGUACGGCCGCAAGGCUGAAACUCAAAGGAAUUGACGGGGGCCCGCACAAACGGUGGAGCAUGUGGUUUAAUUCGAAGCAACGCGAAGAACCUUACCAGGUCUUGACAUCCUCUGACACUCCUAGAGAUAGGACGUUCCCCUUCGGGGGACAGAGUGACAGGUGGUGCAUGGUUGUCGUCAGCUCGUGUCGUGAGAUGUUGGGUUAAGUCCCGCAACGAGCGCAACCCUUGAUCUUAGUUGCCAGCAUUCAGUUGGGCACUCUAAGGUGACUGCCGGUGACAAACCGGAGGAAGGUGGGGAUGACGUCAAAUCAUCAUGCCCCUUAUGACCUGGGCUACACACGUGCUACAAUGGAUGGUACAAAGGGCUGCGAGACCGCGAGGUUUAGCCAAUCCCAUAAAACCAUUCUCAGUUCGGACUGUAGGCUGCAACUCGCCUACAUGAAGCCGGAAUCGCUAGUAAUCGCGGAUCAGCAUGCCGCGGUGAAUACGUUCCCGGGCCUUGUACACACCGCCCGUCACACCACGAGAGUUUGUAACACCCGAAGUCGGUGGGGUAACCGUAAGGAGCCAGCCGCCUAAGGUGGGACAGAUGAUUGGGGUG